rnacentral:pre_miRNA from 1 species
GAGACACCUUUAUUAGGCAGGACUUGCUUCAGUGGGGCUUUGGUGCUCACUGAGUCUGCCCCUUGAGUGUGCCACU